ACUACCCUCCCCCGCGCCGUCGCACCACCUCCCACCACCGCGCCGCACCACUAUCCUCCCUCGCACUGUCGCACCACCUCCCACCACCGCGCCGCACCACCACCUCCCCCCACGCCGCCGCCCACCUCCCACCACCGCGCCGCACCGGGAGCUCCCUCCCUCGCGCUGCCCGCCCCGGCCACCACGACGGAUCCGAGCAGCCCCCGCCAUCCCGCGCCCAACCGGUGAUGGAUCCGAGCUCCUCCUCCACAUGCCUCCUCCCAACCCCAUGCUGUUCAUCUCGAUGUAUCCCCCAGAUCCGGUGAGACCUCGCCCAUUCAGGUGGUGCGGCUCCUGGUGGGGAUGGGCCAGAUCGAGCCCGGCCAUCAACGGUGACCCCUUUCGGCCUAGAUACAUGGCUAGCGGCAGUGGCUGGGCCAGCCUCUCCUCCUUCCUCCCCUGGUCAAGAUCCAUGGUUCAUCCAUGGGGUUGUUCUGGCAUCGGCCAGGACGCCAGGUUGCGGUGCGGCACCGAUGCCAUGUUGUUCGGGGCGAUACAUGGUGUGGUUCAUAUCGCGCAUGCAGUUUGGAGCAUGGGAACAUGCAAUGCAAAAAUGUUGCGUUUUGUGUAUAAAAAAUACGAACUCAUUUGAAUGCAAUUCACGCCUAGACAUGUGUUCAGCAAAUGCAGUUUGGAGUAUCUGCGCAUGCAGUGCAGACCGUGCUUUUUGUGUUUGAGGAUUUUAUGUAUAAAAAUUACAGGAACUCGUUUGAUUGCAGUAUGCGAUGAAACAUGGUGAUGUUUAGAGUUCAGCAUGCAGUUUGGGCCAUGUGGACAUGCAGUGCAGAAUGGUGUUUUUCCGUGUUUGAUGAUUUUAUUUAUGUAUAAAAGUUAUAUGGACUCAUUUGAAAAUUGUUU
rnacentral:rRNA from 1 species